CAAUAGCGUAUAUUAAAGUUGUUGCAGUUAAAAAGCUCGUAGUUGGAUUUCUGGAUCGAACGCUUCGUCCGCCGCUGUGCGGUGUGUACUGAGGUUUUGUUUCGAUUCAUCCUUGCAGGGAAGCGAGUUCGAGAUUAAUUUGUCGGCUCGGGGAACUGCAUCUUUUACUGUGAAAAAAUUAGAGUGUUUAAAGCAGGCAUUUUGCUGUGAAUACAUUAGCAUGGAAUAAUAACAUAGGACUUUGGUUCUAUUUUGUUGGUUGGAGGCCAAGGUGAUGAUUAAUAGGGACAGUUGGGGGUAUUCAUAUUUAAUUGUCAGAGGUGAAAUUCUUGGAUUUAUGAAAGAUGAACUCAUGCGAAAGCAUUUACCAAGGAUGUUUUCAUUAA
rnacentral:rRNA from 1 species